AGGGAAUCUUCCACAAUGGACGCAAGUCUGAUGGAGCAACGCCGCGUGAGUGAAGAAGGUUUUCGGACCGUAAAGCUCUGUUGUUGGUGAAGAAGGAUAGAGGUAGUAACUGGCCUUUAUUUGACGGUAAUCAACCAGAAAGUCACGGCUAACUACGUGCCAGCAGCCGCGGUAAUACGUAGGUGGCAAGCGUUGUCCGGAUUUAUUGGGCGUAAAGCGAGCGCAGGCGGAAGAAUAAGUCUGAUGUGAAAGCCCUCGGCUUAACCGAGGAAUUGCAUCGGAAACUGUUUUUCUUGAGUGCAGAAGAGGAGAGUAGAACUCCAUGUGUAGCGGUGGAAUGCGUAGAUAUAUGGAAGAAUACCAGUGGCGAAGGCGGCUCUCUGGUCUGCAACUGACGCUGAGGCUCGAAAGCAUGGGUAGCGAACAGGAUUAGAUACCCUUGGUAGUCCAUGCCGUAAACGAUGAGUGCUAAGUGUUGGGAGGCUUCCGCCUCUCAGUGCUGCAGCUAACGCAUUAAGCACUCCGCCUGGGGGAGUACGACCGCAAGGUUGAAAC
rnacentral:rRNA from 1 species